rnacentral:misc_RNA from 1 species
GAUGAAGAACGUAGCGAAAUGCGAUAAGUAAUGUGAAUUGCAGAAUUCAGUGAAUCAUCGAAUCUUUGAACGCACAUUGCGCCCGCCAGUAUUCUGGCGGGCAUGCCUGUUCGAGCGUCAUUUCAACCAUCAAGCCCCCGGCUUGUGUUGGGGACCUGUGGCUGCCGCAGGCCCUGAAAACCAGUGGCGGGCUCGCUGUCACACCGAGCGUAGUAGAUUUUCAUCUCGCUCAGGGCGUGCUGCGGGUUCCGGCCGUAAAAAGCCUUAUUUACCCAAGGUUGACCUCGGAUCAGGUAGGAAGACCCGCUGAACUUAAGCAUAUCAAUAAGCGGAGGA